rnacentral:piRNA from 1 species
UCUGUUGUGUGCUGUCACUCGAUUUUCUGC